rnacentral:rRNA from 1 species
CGUGUGGGAGGACGCCUUUCGGGGUGUAAACCACUGUUGCCCGGGACGAACAGGUCUAUUCGUAGACCCUGACGGUACCGGGUGAGGAAGCACCGGCUAACUCCGUGC